CCCAAGUCAGUAUAUAAUGAAAUCUGAAAAACAGCUAAGAUGCAAGAAAGUUAUUCUGUAUCAUAUAUAGCCACCCAGAAAAAUACAGACAACAGACCUAGACAACUCACACAGGCCUCAUUGUACUCAGAAGAAGCAGAGAAAAAAAAAAAAGAAUUCAUUCCACCCAUUUAGCUAAACUAUUAAGGCAGUUCCAAAGUGGUUUGUUCAAGUUUAUUUGGAUGUUAAAUGCUAAAUGAAAGAUCUCUAGAUGAAAUGUUAAAGAUUGUAUCUUAUUUUUAGGAAAUAAACAGAUUCCAGAGGUGUGUUCCUGCCGGGCCAAUCACGAGGCUGUAGCACAGCGCUGCCAUGUCCCUGAGCCCAAUCACAGCCUCAAAGGGAAACUUGUUUUGCUGUUUGUCUCCGCAGUGCUGGUGAUGGAUGGCUGCUUCAGGGGAAGAGAUCAAGCUGUGUGGAAGAACCUCGGGCAGACAAGAUACAUUGAGGGAAGGCUUAGAAGAUAGGCCUGAGACAGCAAGCGGCCUCAGCCUACACCUCUCUUUCCCUCUCCAGAAAUGGAAACUAGACUCCAUCUCUUGCCUCAGCUCUAACUUCAUGGCACUGUGAUGCCAGCUCAGUCCUCAGCACUGCUCCUCCAGCACUGUCACGCCUGGCUCUGCCUAGCUCCAAACUCACAGAGAGCAGCGAGCCAAAAGGCCUCAGUCUCCCAGAAGACUGGAUCUUGAGACUGAAGUGCAACUGCUCAACUCCCAUUAGCUCAACCACAUCUCAAAUUCUUCUACAUUAAAGAAAAGCAAAUGACUGGAAGCAAUAGGAUUGUUAAUGCUGGGACCAUCUCCUCACUCCAGGAAAACCUUCUGUCAGAGUUAAGUAUCUGCUUUUCC
rnacentral:lncRNA from 1 species